UGCUACUCUUAUCCUAUUGAAGAUCCAUUUAUACUCUAUGGGUAUCAUCCCUUUGAGUGGAUCAACGAGUGUCCAUACACCGUUGACCAUUAUGGACUUCAUUUCAGAGUCUUUGGCUCCAAGCCAUUAAUCAGAGUCAAUUGUUUGCAUGGCAUCUAUGUAGGUGAUUAAAUCCUUGUAGUUCUCAUUGAGUUCAACAGGAUCACGUCUCAGAUCUAGAUACCGAAG
rnacentral:lncRNA from 1 species